rnacentral:lncRNA from 1 species
CCUCCCACUGCCUGGAACUCUGCAUCUGAUGCUGUGGAUUCUGCCUCCACGCUUUUAGCGAGAGCAAACACUGGAGGAAAUUCACAGGUUUCAGCGUAAGACACGGAAGCCAUAUUACGGACAGUCGAGCUUCAGCAGCUCGACCCCUGUGUCCUGCCCAACAGACGUGGCGCCAUGGCCCCCAAACUCAUCACCCUCCUGUGUCUAGGAAUCUGCCUGCCUGCCAGGAUCUGCACACACGCAGGUGAGUCCUACCCCAGUCCGAGGAUACUGUGUUGCCCAAACACGAAGGGUUCUCCCAGGCAGGGAGGGCAGACGUGGAAUCGGGCAGAGGCAGAUGAUGUGGGGAGGGCUUUGCAGAGAGCCCUGGG